AGCCCAUUGGAAAGAGAAACUAAAAGGGCAAAAGGCAGCAAGCUGCUGCUAAACAAUAGAAGCUACAAAACGCUAAGAAAGAAAGAAAAAAAAUAGAAUGAAGAGAAGCGGAAUCGGGUGAGCGGCGACCAUAGUUGGAGAAGAAAAGUGAGGGAGGAAACUAUAAUUCAGAUUGAUUGAAGAAAAUUGUAUGAAUCGUUCGAGGUGAAGAGUUUGGUAUUUCGCACGAUUACUAUUCAGGCGUAUCUAAUCCCGCUCCCGAGUACUGAUCAUUUCCAGCUCAGGCGGAUCCAAGGAGUCUCUAGGUAGCUGUCGGCGUUCACAGCCUGGAGCUCUUCCCUAUCUUAU